AAAGGGCGCCUUCCGCAAUCGAUUUGACCCAGAUUUUGUUUUAAAGGGGCACGACCACCUUAUCAGCCUUAUUUCUGAUGUCAUUUAAUAAUAGGGUUCUAUAAUUAGCUGUGUCUAAAAUGCUUGAUAAUUAGUCAGCCUAAAUCUAUUUCAUGCAACUGCUGUACCUGGAUUGCAAAAAAAAACAGGUUUUUAAGGAUAAUACACUAUUUAUCGAACAAGACUGAAAUUAAAUUUACUAAAAUUAUAUAUCUAUAACCUUUUAGUAACCUUUUAUGACUUUUUUUAUAAAAGUUGCAGAUUAACGGGUGAAUGACACGAAAUUACCAUUUUACACUUGUGUUAUUUUUGAAAUUUAAUGAUUUCUAAAAUUUUGAACCCAGUCUACCCGUUCCACCGUCGUUUUCUGUAACUCAGAAUAACUCAUUAUCAAGCAAAUCUGGGUAUUUCUGGAAGGUUUUUAAAUUGUAAAUUUUCAUAAGGAACGGAAACUUCUCUAGAACUUGAUAUCCAACCCUUUCGGUACACACAAAGCUCCUUACUUGACACCUUUGCCAGAUAAAAAAAACUAAUAAACCAAAUGUGUGAAAAGUAGAGCUUCAUUUUCCCUAUAAAACUGAAUGAAAGAAGUGCUUGGAAUUUUUUCCAGUUACCAAAUUGUUGCUUACGAAUUUAAAGAACCGUGAAGGCGACACUUUUGAAUUGCAUUUCCACUAGCAUAUCAGAUCAGCAUAAUCACUUGACUGAAGAACCACUUGUUGGGAGUGGAAGUUCAGAGAUUUUCGAUUCAUUGAAACGUGAAGAUUGCGAAAUUGGUGCGGCGCGUAGGUACAAAAAUAUGAGUAAUAAGGCCCGUAGUACACACAUAUCAUACAUGAAAAGAAGUCAUAACAGGUUAGCAAGCACAAUGUGAAUCACUGAGUAGUUCCAAUUGCUAUGUUUAUUCGGAAGCUAUGUCAGGAAACCCUUCGCAACUUGUCUGGUUUCUUAUUCCAAAAUCAGUCCACAAAGUCACACUAUUACGAUCACUAACUCCAGUUUUUACAUAGGAGUGCAGCAUUUACAUAGGUAUGCAGACGAUGCAUAUGUACAUCGCACAUAAAUCGUACAUCGGUGUACAAAGAUAACAUGUGUCUCUUUUCCGUGGGCCUUAUUUUCCGAUAAGAGCUCUAGACGCGGAUUAAACACUCACAUUAAUUGGCAGCUGCAUGUACAUAUGCACCAUUAACUACGAUCACCGAUAACUCC